UCUUCCUUCUCGCUCAUCUCGCCCUCUCUCUCACUCCGUCUCGCUCUUCUCUCCCACUCCGUUAGACGAAUUACAAAGACGAAGGAAGACAGCAGCCACUACCCACCCAUCUGUUUCUCCUCCGCUCCACCCUCCGUCGGCGUUUUGGGCAUUUUACCUGAUAGGGAUGUGCACCACCAGUAGAGCCGCGACUUGUGGUACGCAUUCAACCGAGAGUCACACACUGACACAAGUACACUAUUUGCCUGUAAUCUUCGUCUCCGCACAACACACAUACGUGGGUCGGUAAGCCCUUCCAAUUUCCCAAUCAUUUCCCUUCUCAAAUUUUGACAUAUAUGAAUUCCCAGUAUUCCAAUUACCAGGAAUUCACAGUGUUUGCUGUUUGCGUUCCCAUUUCACUGUAAAUUUCAAUCCUCACUGCCAUUUUUCACCUUAGUUUCCAGUAAUCAGUGAGAAAAAGUGUAAAUUUACCUGUUUAAAUUUGUGGGUUUUCGUUCUAUUACCGUAUAAUGGCGAUUUCUAUGCUUUACGGAGCUCAGAAUCUCAAACUUGUCAAUGGAAUAAUAGCAGUAACACCAAGUGGGUUAGGUUCUGGUGGGAAAAAUUACCCUUAUGGGGUUUUUCCCAGAAGGGUUUAGUGAGCUAUGGCGGUAGGAGUCGAAACACCAAUCGCCGCACCAACUUGCCAAGGCUAAGGAGAAGGAGCCCUUGAAGGAAUGCAGGAAAAUUGAAGGGGAUGCCGAUGAUCUGCCGUACCCAACUGAUUACGUGGAUCGAUAUGUCUCUGCUGGAAGGCAUCUCCAAUUCAUCUAGCUGGAAGGCAAGUUUACAUUGAGAAGCAGAGACCAAACAGCACUGGAUUAGCAGCUCGAGGAAGAGGAAGGGGCAGAGGCAGAGGAGGUUACCAAACUGAUGCCACAAGGGGGCGUUUUGGUGGCCGGAGUUCAAGCAGGGGUAGUUACGGAUGGAGAUUACAACAGACUGAGAGGCAAUGGUUUUCAUCAGCGUGGCAAGGCUACACCACCAGCCGAUACUUAGUAGCCUGAUGCAUCAAGCCUAAAAGACUACUUGUUGUAGUUUUUUCUUUUAUGUUUUUUUUUUGGGUCAAUUAGUUUUUUCUUUUUUGUUCGAACAUCUUGUACGUACAUUUUCAUAUAU